GGUUUGGUGCAUUUUGAAAGAUAAGUCAAAGGUUUCAUACCCACUUUUCCAAAAACUUGCCAAACAAGAUAUAUAUCAAAGAAAAUAUUAUAAGCCUUAAUUAUUAUAUAUAUCAUCAUUUACUUAGUUUUCACACUUUACUCUUAUAGAGUCUAUUUGCCAUGACCACUUACCCUUACACUUCUUUUAGUCCUCAACAACAACAACAAGAAGUAGAUGAGGUUCAAUUCUCUGAUGACAAACACUUUUCCCUACAUGGAAAGAUAUUGCUUUUUGUUUUUCUCUCUGCCUUCUUUCUACUCUUUGUGUUCGUCCUCAUGAUUCCAUGGCUGAAGAAUCAUGCAAGGGGUUCUCAUGAUUCAGGAACAGAAGAAGAUUCGAUUGAGUUCCAGAAUAACACUGCGUCACAAAACUGGUUCAGAAGAAGAAGGAAAGAAGAUGAUGCCAACACCAUGCAACAACAGUAGCAAAUUCUAUUCUCCUUUUAUAAUGUGAGGAAUUGCUUAUUUUUGGAGCAAGAAGUUAAGUGCUUGAAUUUCCGUGUGAAUAUGAUGUAGCUAGAGUUUAAUUAGAUAUCUGAUUCUGUGUGCAGAAACUUGUUUGUUGGUUAUGUUGGUAAUUAUUGAAUAUUUGUAGUCUUGUCAGUGUCAUAACACCUUAUGAUAUACACACAUAGUUGAAGCAUAUCAACAUAUUUUUCGUGUAUUUACUUUUUAGUCCUUGUGAUGUAGGAGAAAUUAACCUACAUAGUGUAGCUGGAUCGUUAACUCCGUUAAUCAGUUAUCUGAGAUAUAGCAGAGGUAUGGAAGAGGAUUGAAGAACAGAAGUGUCACACUCAACGUGACCUUCUCACUUAGCGCAUCAAGACCGCUUAGCCCAAGAAGCCUGCUUAGUGCAAGAAGCUAACUUAGAGGCCAACUAUAGGGCGCAUCUGGCGAUUUAGCUUGCAUAUGGCAACUUAGCAUGCAUCUGGUGGCUUAGUGCACAUGCAUUUGGUGGCUUAGCGCCUAUGCAUUUGGCGACUUAGUGCAUAAUCACUUAUACCAGCUAGACUUUGCAUGUACGCUCAGCGCGCACAUGCAGACUUAGCACACAGUGGCAAUUUUGAUUAGUCAUCAAGUGGGAAGAUAUUUGCAAAAAGUGAUUAUAUAUAUAUAAAAAAUCAACAUUCAUUCAUUCAUUCCUUUAUUACAAAGCAAAGGACAACAGAGGAGAGAAAAGGAGACAUAGGAAGCCAUACACAAUCGAUGCAAGGAAAUUCCAUUUCUUUCUAUUUUUCUUCCAUUAGAUCCCAUAUUAUAUUUGUAAGUCUCUCAUGACAAUGAGAGGCUAAAACCACCCAUUUUUGAGAGCUCUGCAAACCAAAAUCUCUUUGAUAUAAUGAUUCUAAACUAUCUAUUAAUAUGAUGUUGAUAUUAUUGUUCA